rnacentral:lncRNA from 1 species
ACAAUAGUACCUAACAUAAUCAAUCAUGUAGACCACACCUUAUCCCUAACAUUAUCAUUCACAUUAUACUCCUCAUCAUCAACACACUUUAAACAUCAUGCUAGCAUUGAGGAUUUCAUACAUAACCUUCAUAGCAUAACUUCAUAAACAUAUGCAUCAUAAUCAUCAAUUCACUUCACAUAUAUUGCCUUCAAGGCCAUGAUCUCAACAUGCAUAGAUAGACAAGAAGUGAACACCUCCACCAUAAGUGGAUCAAACCAC